GUCCUCCACUGGCAUGGCUCCGGCCUCUGAAAGUUAUGAUGUAUAAUCUUUGAAAAUAAAAAUAAAUAGAUUUAUCAAAUUAAUUAUAUAAUUAUGGAUGGCUAGGUAAGAUUUAAAAUGAUUUAAGGAUUAUAUACUUAGCACUACUCAUCAACCUCUUCAAAUGUCUGGUGUUGGGUAUAAAAUACCUCCCAGCUGAAGUUCGUGAUAGGGGCGACCCUCCGGGGAUUCUAUUGGCG
rnacentral:lncRNA from 1 species